rnacentral:rRNA from 1 species
GAUGAACGCUAGCUACAGGCUUAACACAUGCAAGUCGAGGGGAAACGAUGAGAGAGCUUGCUCUCUUAGGCGUCGACCGGCGCACGGGUGAGUAACGCGUAUCCAACCUACCCAUUACAGGGGGAUAACCUUGCGAAAGUAAGACUAAUACCCCAUGGCAUUUUAUGGUGGCAUCAUUAUAGGAUUAAAGAUUUAUUGGUAAUGGAUGGGGAUGCGUCUGAUUAGCUUGUUGGCGGGGUAACGGCCCACCAAGGCAACGAUCAGUAGGGGUUCUGAGAGGGAGGUCCCCCAAAUUGGAACUGAGACACGGGCCAAACUCCUACGGGAGGCAGCAGUGAGGAAUAUUGGUCAAUGGGCGAGAGCUUGAACCAGCCAAGUAGCGUGCAGGAUGACGGCCCUAUGGGUUGUAAACUGCUUUUAUAGGGGAAUAAAGUGAGCUACGUGUAGUUUAUUGCAUGUACCCUAUGAAUAAGGACCGGCUAAUUCCGUG